rnacentral:rRNA from 1 species
ACUCAAAUGAAUUGACGGGGGCCCGCACAAGCGGUGGAGCAUGUGGUUCAAUUCGACGCAACGCGAAGAACCUUACCUGGGCUCGAAAUGUAGUGGACCGGGGUAGAAAUAUCCCUUUCCGCAAGGACUGCUAUAUAGGUGCUGCAUGGCUGUCGUCAGCUCGUGUCGUGAGAUGUUGGGUUAAGUCCCGCAACGAGCGCAACCCUUAUCUUUAGUUGCCAUCAGGUCAAGCUGGGCACUCUAACGAAACCGCGUAGGAUAACUACGAGGAAGGUGGGGAUGACGUCAAGUCCUCAUGGCCUUUAUGUCCAGGGCUACACACGUGCUACAAUGCGCGAUACAAAACGUCGCAAACCCGUGAGGGGGAGCUAAUCGGAAAAAGUCGCGCUCAGUUCGGAUUGGAGUCUGCAAUUCGACUCCAUGAAGCUGGAAUCGCUAGUAAUCGCAGAUCAGAACGCUGCGGUGAAUACGUUCCCGGGCCUUGUACACACCGCCCGU